UUUCGUUAUGAUAAAUUAAUAUAUAGCUUGAAAACAUUUUUUUUACUUUUUUAUUAAAUUAUUUGCUACUUUUUAUUGUUUGAAAUUAUUUUUAAUU